rnacentral:rRNA from 1 species
GUGCCAGCCGCCGCGGUAAUACCGGCAGCCCGAGUGAUGGCCGAUAUUAUUGGGCCUAAAGCGUCCGUAGCUGGCCGAACAAGUCCAUCGGAAAAUCCACCCGCCCAACGGGUGGGCGUCCGGUGGAAACUGUGUGGCUUGGGACCGGAAGGCGCGACGGGUACGUCCGGGGUAGGAGUGAAAUCCCGUAAUCCUGGACGGACCGCCGAUGGCGAAAGCACGUCGCGAAGACGGAUCCGACAGUGAGGGACGAAAGCUAGGGUCUCGAACCGGAUUAGAAACCCUGUAGUUC